ACUAAUACACCAUCACAAGCUCCUAUAAUUUCAUAAGAGGAGGUAUCUCUAACUAGCUAUAUAACAAAUGUGCAAAAUAAUAGUCAAAACAGUGGUACUUGUUAAAAAUUUAACACUAGAUUUUGUUUUGUAUGAAAUCUUGGAACAGUACAAAUAUAUAAGAUGUUGCUGACUGUGUGUUGUUAGUGCUGAGAAGUGUAACAAUGUUGUUGCAUAAGAAAAAUCACUCCACCUGCAACUGUUCAUUGGCCAUAGUUUUGAUGCACCUUUGUGAAUUUGUGGAUGGCUUUUAAGAGGGAACCAAAUUCCAUGGACUUCAAGGUCCCCAUAUGUACGAUCUCAGUGUACCGGAUUCUCCAUGCUGGGAAACCCAUGUGACAUCUCACAGGACCAUAGACGAAUAAAAGAUCAGGCUCUGGUCCCCCAUAACCUACAGCUUGUAGCGCCUCAGACAUGUCAGACUCUGUAAAAUUCGGCUUUUCUGGUUUUGUGCUAGCAUAAUGCUUGGCAAAGAGUAAAUUAGCUGCUUUGGCCACUGCAGGUUUUGAAUCAGCAAAAGAGACAAAUUCCAGGUCUACAUGCUUCUCAACCAAAGUCCCAUGAUCCGAUCCUUCAACAAUGGCUUUCUGGGACUUGUUCAGUCCUUCAAUAAUAGCUGUCUGGGACUUUUUCAGCACUCCUUCUCGAUCAUAGAGACAGAUGCUUUUUAAACCAACAGACGCAAGCCAACACAAUAAUUCAAGAACUUUUGAAGUUUCACGAGCUUCUUCACUGUCAAUCACAACAGCCAGAUAGCGCACUUUACUAAUGUUAACGGCAUUGUAACUCUUUAGCAGCCCACUAGAAAUAAGGGUAUUCUCAACCAUACGAGCUAUGCCUAAUACAGAGUACCAAACAUUGAUGAUCAAGUGUAAGAUGAGCCAGACCAAAUGAAGCACAAGGUUACCACACACAGAUGUCCAGCUUAGAAUCUUCUGCACCUCAUUUCCUAAGCCCAUUGAUCGAGUUUCUUAUCCGAUAAAUAAUGAAAUUGAGCAGCGAUCCCAUACAAAAAGCAGCACUCAGCAACACUAUCCAAAAAAGAACACUAUCAGGCAGCAACCUGCUGGUCGCCGACGGGAGACGAGCACGAGAGAGACUAAGAAGACAGUG
rnacentral:misc_RNA from 1 species